rnacentral:rRNA from 1 species
UACGUAGGGUGCAAGCGUUGUCCGGAAUUAUUGGGCGUAAAGGGCUCGUAGGCGGCCAACUAAGUCGGACGUGAAAUCCCCAGGCUCAACCUGGGAACUGCGUCCGAUACUGGAUGGCUUGAAUUCGGGAGAGGGAUGCAGAAUUCCAGGUGUAGCGGUGAAAUGCGUAGAUAUCUGGAGGAAUACCGGUGGCGAAGGCGGCAUCCUGGACCGACAUUGACGCUGAUGAGCGAAAGCGUGGGGGAGCGAACAGG